AAUGGAACAAAAGCGCCAGAACUCAUACGUGAGCCCGUAAUAUUUGAGUUGACGAGGACAGGGAGUAUCGAAAAUUCGGCGGAUGCCCUGGAAGGUGGACUGUUAAAACAGCGGAGUGAUCCGCUGCACAGAGCAGACACCAAAAUCUACU
rfam:Eubacterium limosum KIST612, complete genome.